GGACCAUAGCAUUUUGGACUCUACUAGCCUUACACAAAAACGCGAGAAAGGAAAGCACAACGUGGUAAAACAACUGAAAAAUGGCAUUGACGACAGUGGCUGGUGUUAGCGCCGCCAUACUUCAACUCCGUAGCGACGUCAAGAGUUCCACCGCCAUCUUCCGCCGUGACGUCCGCCAAAUUCGUAAUUGGAUCGAAGAAGAAUCUCUCUCCUCUUCUUCUAAGGCAGGAGCGAAAGUUAAACCUAAGCAAGUGGAAGGACAGGUUCAUGAGAAGGAAACUCCCAAGGACAAUAAGCACUAAAAACUUGAUGAGUUGUCUGCGGGAAGAACACGGAUCUCUUGAGGCUCUUUUUGUGAUAUGUCCUGUAUAGACUUGAAUUUUGUUUAGUUCUAGUAGCAUGUUAAAAUUUUUGACAUUAUACAUGGUGCUGCGAGAUAUUGGAACCCAUUUGCCUAUAGCCUAUUGCUUGGUAGUUCUGUUAGGUUGGUAUUCUUCUGAAUAUUGGAAUAUUUUAGGUGAUCAUUGUUCUUGUGUAAUAAGAGUUGGAAAAGGUACUGGUUGGAUAAGUGUGUUCUUAGUAAGGAUUGUAAAUAUGAUCAACGCUCAUACCUUGUGGCUGUGUAGUUUAACAAGUGAGACUGAAGAGAUGAAAUGAUGGAUUGUUCAGGUUAUAUGGUUCCCAAUCUGCUCAAACUACUCUACAGUUUUGAGGUGUAAUUUUGCAAUUCUAAUGUUGAAGAUGAAGCACUUGGUGCAGAGGUUGUAGUGUUGCUGCUAAAACUUUCAAAUAAUUUUUUUUAUUCGAGUUUCAGAAUUUUCUAGAAUAUUUGGACAUUAGUCUGGAGUAAUUGUUUUGGUGUUUGUGUGUUUAUUGUGACCUUGAAAUGGUUGAUUAUAUUUUACACGUGUUUGUCUUAUUUUCUAGUGAAUUGGGUAUAUUCAUUAGCUCAUUCAUAACAAUAAUAAAGUGCCAUUGGCGGUGUAAUAACUAUGCAUUUUGGCUCUCAAGUCUCAACAUCCUCAUUCUUA